rnacentral:lncRNA from 1 species
GAACCUGCAUUUGAUAAAUUACUCGCAACACACCUCCUCCGGGGGGUGGGGGCUCGAAGCAAACAGUGACUCUUUCAAACGUUCAGUAACAUCUCUCAUCAUGGCUCCCGUAAAACUCGCUCGGCGGUUACGAUUCUCUCAAAUCUGUAAUCUUUAAGCCACAUGUGUGCCAGACAACGACACUGCAACACCCACUCUCUAUAUAAAGGGGACUCUUAGCAGUCCCCAAGGUUAGAAUCUGCUUACUCUAUAAAUCCCCAUUCUGACUCAAAUCCUGACUUGAGCGUGUAUGCAUGUACACCUCCUGCCAUUCCAAUCAACAACUGAGACUUCAACCACCGUAUCAAAUUGCAUCGGUAGUCAUCUUUUGAUCGGUUUUCUGGAGUGAGAAAAUGCUCAAAGACCCAUUUACAUAGGCCCAAUACAAACUAUCCCAGAACCUGCAUUUGAUAAAUUACUCGCAACACACCUCCUCCGGGGGGUGGGGGCUCGAAGCAAACAGUGACUCUUUCAA